AAGAGCAAAUGGUCUUAAACUGAAAGAGGGGAGAUUUAGGUCUGACACCAUCUGGGGCCGGUUCUAUGCUAUGCAGACACUGUUCAAAAGGAGUUCAGCAGCUUUGUGGCCAAGCGUGAAGAUGACAGUGUUGAAAAUGAAAAUCUUAGAUCAUAAAUAAUUGCCUUGUGAACCAAAUUGUGACUGUUUGAGCCAGUGGAAGUGACUUCAAUAGUGCAAGAGUGGCAAUCUGUUCUCUUGGAAGCAUUCCAGAAGCACUAAAAUUGUCCAUAAAGUGAUGUUUUGAAGACUGGUUCAGCUGUUCCCAGUGCCUAUCUUUCAUUCCUCAGAGUGGACGGCCUCCUUUUUGAAUGUUGCUGCAUGGAGGUACCACUAUAAAGAAUGUGUGUCCAUCUUCUUGAUGAUCAUCUUGUAGGAGCUGACCAUCAGCAUAUCACAGAAGACAAGCUGAUGGUGAAGGAGACCAGUUUGGCUGAACAGACAUCUUUGGCUGGAACUUGGGAACAAAAGGAAAAAUUAUGGUCUUUGAAAGAGGACGCAAACAACUUAUGAGGAUUAGAAAUACGUACUGAAGCUGUGCAGAAAGGCCGAAGCCCAGGUAGAACUGAACUUUGCAACUAAGAUGAAAGGCAACAAUAAAUAUUUCUAAUGUUGCUGCGGAGACCAGAAUCAGGGCAGGGUGGUGAAGGACAUGGAGUGGGCUACAAAAACACAGGUGAGCAGCAGAUAGAGCAGUGCAACAUCACCUCUUGCUGGUCCAGCCUAGGUGGAGGCCCCUGACACUGCCAGGAAAUCGUCUUCACUGCCUGAAUCCUCCUGUGUUGCCUUUCCAGCAGAUGUCAGAGACACUGAUGUUCCUCCUCCAUAUAUGCCUGUUAUUCAGAGUCUUUCUUGAGCUGUUUAUGGAAGCCUUUACCUACUUCCUUAUGCUGAUCCAUUGACUUUAGCCUGCUCAUCAUCCCUGCUGGUCUGUUCUGUGAUCCCCACACACAAGCUGUCAACCAGCCAGUCUGUAGCUGGCCCUGAGCAGAGUUCCAUGCAUCCAAGUCAUUCUUCCACAGAGAGGACAGCCCCUUUCCUUGUCCUCCAUGCCACUGUUUCUUGCAGGGUUUCUGCCACCCACCGUGGUGCUUCAGUCAUGCAUGUUGUCUGACCGUGUCCCAGUUAUGCCAGUUAUGGUUCUGUAAACUUGCACACAAGUUCUAGUUUUUCCUGCUUGCUUUCCACACUGCACUCAAUUGUCCAUGUACUCACAGCAGUGCAGGAAUACUUAACUGAUCUUUUGUUAGCACUAGACCAACUUAACUGCUGUCUGUAAAUAUGUUUAUAAUUUAUUGAAAGAGUCUUAUAAAGAUAUAAAAUAUUGUAUUUUUGUGAUGCAUGCAUGCACUCACACUUUAUCUUAUAGUCAAUUACUAAUCCCCAAAAUAAAUACAAUGCUUUAUUUCCUAAGUCACAGCUCCUGAAUCAAGCGUCCUCCAUUGCAUCUUAAACAGGUUUACCAGGAUGAUGCUGUCUGCUUAAUUACUUUUUAACAAGUUUCCAUUCAAAGAUGUCCUUUGUCAUGUAUAUUGUGUUAUGGGUAAACAUAUGGCUUGUUUCCUGCCUGUCUUU